UCAGGUUUAUCAGUGGUGGAAGUGGCUUCCUAGCUGCUUCCUAUCUCUUUGCAGUUCUGUGUAGUAGAGCUGAACUGGAGCUGCCCAGGCUGUUAUGGAAUCCAUAGGCAUUUGAGGCAAAGUGGAAUCCUUGUGGCUUAGGCACAUCAUUUUCUAUAAUUAAGUCACAAUGGACUUUUGGAGAGCUCUGCUGAACGACUGAGAGCCUGUGCACAGCUGGGCCUGCUAACAAACUCUGUGCUACUCUAAGGACUUGUCUCACUGGGGUUGAGUUUCUCCAAGAAGUUGGUGUCUUCCUGAGCAACCUGCAUUCAGAUGGGAGGAAAUACCACCCUGAGGUGCCAUUCUCCCUCCAUUGCCCUGAAGUCUCAUUGUUGAGCAAGCUGAUACUGUGGAGGCCCUCAGCACACAAAGCUCUCUGCCUCAGAAGCUGGGAUGAAGAGAUGAAGCCCUGAAUCCCCUGUGGUCCUCGUUUUGCACACUACCGUACAUCUCCUACAUUUCUGUGAUUUGCAUUCCCCUGUGAAGCAGCCAAAUGAAUAAACAUUAAACAUGGAGACCGAAAGGGCAAUAUUCUUGCUAAAGAAGCUCUCUCUUUCAAAAAUCAAUGAGAUAAUAUCCUUUUAAAGCUAUUUCCAACUGUCGUCUCUCCUGAUUUGGCUCUCUGGGAGUUGAAAAUAUUGAGGAGAUUACUGACAGAUUUAGCAAUGGAGAGGUUCACCUUAUUUCGAUCUGAUACUUUUAAUGUCCUCUAAUGCUUUGUCUAUGCUGUGAAGCCAGACAAGAGGCCAUCUCACUGCUUUUAUUUGGUCAGGUGAAGCACUGGGUAACUGUGACUUUCUGGAUUAUUUUAGGGAGGACAGCCAUGAAGCUGGCAGAAAGUCAGUGGUAUCAUGGAAAAGCAUCUCAUCUCCUGCAGGUUUGCCACCACUUUCUACUAUCCAGCAGGGAGCAGCCUGAGCUUACCUCAGCAGAGCCCUGCUCCUGCUUAGCCCUUUUGGAAGAGCUGGAACAUGCUCAUAUCCUUCCAGCUGCACAGAGGCACAUCAGUGGCUGCUUAGAGCUCCAGCUUCACAGACCGUUAUAGAAAUAAUAGUCCUCACAGGAUCAUUUCUAAAUGACUUGUGAAAAUAGAUUGGGUACAUUGAGUUCAGGCAAAAAACAUCUUUUUUAUAGGUUCUGUGCAAACAAUCUGUUCCUUUGAUACAUCUUGCUACUGAGUUUCAAAGAAAUCAAAUUGAUGAAGCUGUGAAGAAAGCAAUUUGUUAAAAAUUAAGCUUUCUUCUUGGGAGAUUCAAGUUGAAAGAACAUCUCUGUGGACUGUGCCUAAUCAGAACCUUUGAACACUAUCAGGCAUGCCCCAUUAGGGUUGCCAGCUUUCCAAAACAAAUUACUUACUCUAAUCCCUUGCCUGA